rnacentral:rRNA from 1 species
CCUAACACAUGCAAGUCGAGCGAGAAAGGGACUUUCGGUCCUGAGUACAGCGGCGGACGGGUGAGUAACACGUAGUAAUCUGCCUUUCAGUGGGGGACAACGUCCGAAGGACCGCUAAUACCGCAUACGUUUCUCGGGACUCUGGUCCUGGGAAGGAAAGCUGGGCAACUGGCGCUGAAAGAGGAGCCUGCGUCGCAUCAGCUAGUUGGUGGGGUAACGGCCUACCAAGGCGAAGACGCGUAGCUGGUCUGAGAGGAUGAUCAGCCACACUGGGACUGAGACACGGCCCAGACUCCUACGGGAGGCAGCAGUGGGGGAAUAUUGGACAAUGGGCGCAAGCCUGAUCCAGCCACGCCGCGUGAGUGAUGAAGGCCUUCGGGUCGUAAAGCUCUGUGGGGAGGGACGAACGUCCGGGUGUAGAGCCCGGGGUGACGGUACCUCCUUAGCAAGCACCGGCUAACUUCGUGCCAGCAGCCGCGGUAA